UACAAAUAUGAGGUUUUGGAAAAGCCGCAAUCCUGUGGGAACCCUGCCAGACGACGGGGAAGUUUUCGCUUCAAAUUCAAGAAUUUAGAAGAUCCAGCCUCAGCCAGGUGAACUUAGCCAGCAAGCCCAUCCACGACACUUCUGACCCAGACCACAGCAGCCAGCAAAGCGUCCCGGAUCAGGAGUGAUGUUUUUCUGGGCGAGGAUGUGAGCAGAUUGUGGAGCUGUUUUGGACUGUACAAACAGAGCAGACUCAGACAGACACCCAUCUCACCAUGAAGGAAAACUACAGUGAAGGACGUUCCUGGGCUGCUCUGACAGAAGCUAUGCGAUAAUCAGAUUGUUUCCUGUGUGUGUCAUCAGGAGGAAGUAUUACAUCAGAGAGGGAAUGGACAUGUACAGAUGUGGUAUAAA